AGAGUUUGAUCCUGGCUCAGAUUGAACGCUGGCGGCAUGCCUUACACAUGCAAGUCGAACGGCAGCGGACCUUCGGGUGCCGGCGAGUGGCGAACGGGUGAGUAAAGCAUCGGAACGUACCCGGAAGUGGGGGAUAACUAUCCGAAAGGAUAGCUAAUACCGCAUAUUCUGUGCGCAGGAAAGCAGGGGACCGCAAGGCCUUGUGCUUCCGGAGCGGCCGAUGUCAGAUUAGCUAGUUGGUGAGGUAAAGGCUCACCAAGGCGACGAUCUGUAGCGGGUCUGAGAGGAUGAUCCGCCACACUGGAACUGAGACACGGUCCAGACUCCUACGGGAGGCAGCAGUGGGGAAUUUUGGACAAUGGGCGAAAGCCUGAUCCAGCAAUGCCGCGUGAGUGAAGAAGGCCUUCGGGUUGUAAAGCUCUUUUGUCAGGGAAGAAACGGUGCGGGCUA
rnacentral:rRNA from 1 species